CAGUGCCGAAGACAAGGAGUUGUGCCCUAGUUUUGCUUUUCACAGUGGUUCUGUCUUCAUUGUGAUCUGCCCUAGCAGAAUUGGGAAGGUCACGGAUUGGUGAGGUUUGGUGUAUUGUGGGGUGUUUUUGAUUUUUGGCAGCAACCCCAUCCCGCAGCGGUAAGGACUUUGACGCGAGA